CUUAGGAUGAGACACACAGCCAGUGCUGAAGAACUGUUAAUGGAAAUAGGGCUCUCGAAGAGUUCAUCAUGAUUGGUCAGUUGAGAACCUGGGUGUUUUGAUCUUGGCUGUUUUCCAGCCCAGCGCUGGCAGGCAUUUAUAUUGAGAAAAACUGGCUCUGUAGCUGGAAGCAGAUAAUUUUAAAUGGUGGCAUUCACCUUUUCUCUCGUUUGUUUUCCCUCAAUUCUAGUUUAUGCUCCUAUAACUCUGACCGGCUUAUAGCUCCCUGGAUACAUCAGUUUCUUUCUCCCUUCAGGCCUUUGCAUAGGUAGCCUGCCCUGCUCGAGUCCCCCUUCCACACUCUCCCUCGUGACCCACACCUGCCCAUCCUUUGAGGCCUGUACGAGCAUCACAGCCUACUCACUCAUCGUCAUUGUCACAAAAGGAAACAGAACACUUAGAACUGCUAACUUCUGACUGCCGGCACUCAAGAGAGUCUGGCACAAAGAAAAGGUCUGAGAGUGAUUUGGAUCAGCAUUAAAGCAGGGAGGUAAUUAGCAACCAAGGAACUGAGAAGUCCUGAUUAAUGGAAUAUUUUGUGGCUACAUCCAUCUUGAGCACCAUUAGCAGAGAUACUGACAUCUCAAAAGCAACAAAGAAUUUUAGACAGUCUCACUCUGAUAUCCAAGCUCGAGUACAGUGGCAUGACCAGAGCUCACUGCAGCCUCAACCUCCCAGACUCAAGGGAUCUUCCCGUCUCAGCCCCAUGAGUAGCUGGGACUACAGGAGAGGACACAGAGAGAAGGCAGCACUCUGCAAACCAGGACAAGAGACCUCACCAGGGACAUAUUCAGCUGCCACCUUCAUGUUAGAUCCCUAAACCUCCAGAACCGUGAGAAAUAAACAUGAUUUUAAGCCAUACAGUCUGUGGUAUUUUGUUUUGACUGACACAGCCUGAAAACCCAUUUUCUCCUCACCACACCUGAGUGAUAUCUGUGUGACUGCAGGUACUCAGGAAACCUUAAAAAAAGAGAGAGAAAUGUCCCCAGCUGUGCCCGGGAGAAGCAGCAGCCUGGAACAGAGGAUUGCACCCAGGCUGGGACACUGCCAAUCAUCUUCAUGUGACCCUGAGCAAGUCACUGAAUGGGGCUUUAGCUGCCCCAUUUGUUUAAUUUUUUUUAUUUUUGAUUUUUUUUUUUUGAGAUAAAGUGUCAUUCUGUUGCCAGACUGGAGUGCAGUGGUGCAAUCUCUGCCUCCUGGAUUGAAG
rnacentral:lncRNA from 1 species